CGGAGAGAGGGCCAGGUCUUGCCACUCCGGUGUUUGAUGUGGCCAGAUCCGGCCGGGGGAUUCGCCGCAGAGCCUCCAUGUCGGUGGAGCAGCAGCAGCCCGACAGAAGAUCCAGCGCUCAAAUAAGAUUAGGAGGAAGGGCAUCACACUCUCCGGGAGCAAACAAGAUACCACAUACCGAUCCUGAUUCGGAAUUAUGACAGGGAGUCAGGGACACAAUCAAAUUUAUACCAUCCGUUGUGAUUCAAUUUGACCAUUUCAUUAAAAUUUCCGGAUGGAUCUUAAUUCCUCGGGAAUGAUGUGGUUCUGGAGUCUAUUGUUAAUCUCUUCUGUCGUAGAUGUUUCACAAAUCCAACUACCAUGUUGAUUUUCUGAUCAUUCUUUGGUCUGGAGUCUGGACUAUACAUGAUAUAUGUAUUAUAUCAUCAUCACAAUAUGAUUAUUUUUCUUCUUCUCACAAGGCGCUUCCGAUGCACAGAUGGCGGCAAUGAAGCAGCAGGCUCCGGAGAGCGUGCAGGGGAGGAAGGAGUUCCUGGUGGAGGUGCUGAUGCUGACGGUGCUCAGCCAGCCUAACUUUGUCAGCCUGGUCGGCUUCUGCGCGCAGGGGGACAAGCGCCUGCUAUUGUACGAGUACAUGCCCUUCGGCAACCUAGAGAGCCAUCUCUUUGGAAUACUUCGUCUCAACUUGCUCUCUGUUUGGUCCAGUUCAUCUCUGCAAUGCAGUUAAUAUGUAUCUAUCUCUGCUCUUAACAUGUUAUAACUAAGCAUCCCUAUUGAAAUGCAUUGGCUUUUCUUCAUGAUGCAUG